UGAGGAAUAUUGGUCAAUGGGCGAGAGCCUGAACCAGCCAAGUAGCGUGCAGGACGACGGCCCUAUGGGUUGUAAACUGCUUUUAUAGGGGGAUAAAGUGUGCCACGUGUGGCAUAUUGCAGGUACCCUAUGAAUAAGGACCGGCUAAUUCCGUGCCAGCAGCCGCGGUAAUACGGAAGGUCCGGGCGUUAUCCGGAUUUAUUGGGUUUAAAGGGAGCGCAGGCCGUGGGUUAAGCGUGUCGUGAAAUUCCGUCGCUCAACGGCGGACGUGCGGCGCGAACUGGUCCACUUGAGUACGCGGGACGUUGGCGGAAUUCGUGGUGUAGCGGUGAAAUGCUUAGAUAUCACGAAGAACUCCGAUUGCGAAGGCAGCUUGCGGGAGUGCGACUGACGCUGAAGCUCGAAGGUGCGGGUAUCGAACAGGAUUAGAUACCCUGGUAGU
rnacentral:rRNA from 1 species